UGCCUACGGGACGCAGCAGUAGGGAAUUUUCGUCAAUGGGCGCAAGCCUGAACGAGCAAUGCCGCGUGAACGAGGAAGGUCUUCGGAUCGUAAAGUUCUGUUGAAGGGGAAAAAAAGCGGAGAGAGGAAAUGGUCUCCGAUUGAUAUUACCCUUCGAGGAAGUCACGGCUAACUACGUGCCAGCAGCCGCGGUAAUACGUAGUUGGCGAGCGUUAUCCGGAAUGAUUGGGCGUAAAUGGUUCGUAGGCGGCCUGCUAAGUCUGGACUGAAAGGUACCGGCUCAACCGGUACCGGC
rnacentral:rRNA from 1 species